UACGUAGGGUGCAAGCGCUGUUCGGAAUCAUUGGGCGUAAAGCGCGUGUAGGUGGUUAUGUAAGUCGAGUGUGAAAUCCCUGGGCUCAACCGAGGAAGUGCAUCCGAAACUACAUAGCAAGAGGACAGUAGGGGAAGGUGGAAUUCCUAGUGUAGAGGUGAAAUUCGUAGAUAUUAGGAGGAAUACCGGUGGCGAAGGCGGCCUUCUGGGCUGGACCUGACACUGAGACGCGAAAGCGUGGGUAGCAAACAGG
rnacentral:rRNA from 1 species